GCAGACACAUUCCAGCCAAUCAGCAGCAGACCCUCCCUCCCAGACCCUCCCACUUCCUGGACAGCAGCCAUUUUACAUUCAUUGUGUAGCUGCAUUCUUAGUGAGCUGUCCAGGAGGUGGGAGGGUCUGGGAGGGAGGGUCUGCUGCUGAUUGGCUGGAAUGUGUCUG
rnacentral:miRNA from 1 species